UAUAUAUAUAUAUUUCUUGAUUUGAUUUUGUUUACAUAUACUGCGCCAUGAUCCUUCCAGUGGAGGAGCUAUGAACUGUUAUGGCUGCACGUCAAUCCCUGAGGCUAUGGCAGAUGAGAGGGAUGGCUUUCCAGGGUUACAUUUUCAUCCUCAACCUAUUGCUGAUCAGGGGAUAGUAAAUGAUCAAUUCUGUCAAAUUCAAGCUUUGAAAAGUGAAGAGCAACCAGAUGCUGUCGUAAGGUUGAUUGAUACGUACAUCCUUGAUGUAGAAAGGAUCUUAUCGAAUUUGAAAAGCUACAUAGAUCUUCCUGAUGUAGACUUCUCUAAAUUGGCUGUGGAGAUUUACAAGAUAGAGGAAAAAAGCUUGCAGGCAGGAAGUAAGAUGCCUCACCUAAAGCAUUCAUCUUUAAAAGCAUUGAUUUGUGAUCAUCAUCAGUCCAUUUUAACAGGCAGGGACUUCUUCUCAUUUUCUAUAUCAUUGAAAUCAUAGUAAUCUGGUAAUUGUGUAUAUGGAUUGCAUGGUGUUUGCAAAUUGUACCCUCUUUUAAGUUGUGAAUGAUGUGAUGGUGGGUCAUUGGAUUGUCUUAACUUAGUCUUUCCAUGAGUUGCAUAUCAAAUAUUUUCAUCUGUUGGACAUGAUAAUCAGUCAGAUAGUGAAGUCUUUUCUUCUUGCCCAUUAGAAGCAUUCUGUAAGUUACAGUGAAUGCUAAUGCCAACUUGGCCUUGUAGUAUACUGCACCAGGGUUCAGAUGGGAGUUUAAUCCCAUCCUCAAUCAUCAUUUUCUGAUUAGGGAUUGAUUUUUUUAUUUUUUUUGUAUAUUGUGUUACAGAAUUGGUGCUGAGCACAUGAAAAUUGCUUGUGCCAAUCUCAUUCUGGCUUGUGAUCAGAAGCACAAGGAUAAGCAUCAAUGUGGAUGAAGAUUGAAAAUCAUUUUUGUAUGGCUCUGUAUAUGUCCUUUUCAAGCAUAAUAGAUGGGUUCCUUUCAAGCUCAUAAGUUUUUUUCCCCUCUUUUUCUUUCAAUUUUUCUUUUACUUGUCUCCUUUCCAUUGCAAUAAUGAAGAUAUUUAGUUCUUUAUUGAACUAAGAGUGCGUUUAAUAGUGAUUUUAGGAAGUGUUUCUAAUCUUUCUAAUACUUGAAAAAUAAAAAUUUUCAAGUACUAGAAAUGGUAGAAACACUUCCUAGAAUCACUGCCAAACGCACUCUAAAUAUUUGUUUCUCUUAGUUUAUGACAAUAUGUCUUUUAUUCAUUUGUUUUCCCAUACAUCUGAAAUAUAUUUAACUCCUUAUUUAUCUGUUUGUUUUUUAGUUUCUGUCAAUACUUAGCUUGGAUGAUGAAUGAAUUUACUAAGACCCAAAGCAAGUUGGAGGCCUUUGCUCAGAUGGAGCGGAAGAUCAUCAGAGUGAGGAGCAAAGUGCAAAAGUAGAGCU